UUCAAAAUCAACGGUUUGAGCAACACAAUGGAUUUCUAACAGUAAAACAUCAGAUAAAAAAAACAGAAUAUUAUAUAUAUCAUAAUUCUUUCGUUUUGAUAGAUAAUUUCGUGCUCUCGUUAUAUAUUCUUGUACGAGAAUGAUUUACUAAAACCGUUUGGAAACAGGGAUAUUUUCAUAAAAAAAGCAACUAAUAAUCUAACGCUUUGACUCAAAGACAAAUUCGAUUUAGAUAGUAUAUGUUUCUGUUUUCUCUUCAAAGAAACUCAGAAGAUGAUUACUCUCAAAAUGGAGCAUCAAUACUAAAUAUUAAUUAAUUGGGCUAUGAUUUCGAUUAAAAAAGAAUUACAAAAGUAAAAAGUCUAUAAAAGACAUGUUUCUUCGAGAUGAGAAGAUGUUUUGGAAAAUGUAUAGUCUGCAGCAUAAACCCAAAAGAGAAAAGAAGAAUUAUAAAUGCAUUUACAUAUUUUUAGGCCAAACUAAUUAUGAAAAACCAAAUAAGGUAACUUAGUUAAUAAAAUUUAUAAGGAAUCAAGUUACUCA